UACGUAGGGGGCAAGCGUUGUCCGGAAUCAUUGGGCGUAAAGAGCGCGUAGGCGGCCCUGUAAGUCCGCUGUGAAAGUCAAGGGCUCAACCCUUGGAUGCCGGUGGAUACUGCAGGCUAGAGUCCGGAAGAGGCGAGUGGAAUCCUGGUGUAGCGGUGGAAUGCGCAGAUAUCAGGAGGAACACCGAUGGCGAAAGGCGGUCACUGGGCCGCGAACUGAC
rnacentral:rRNA from 1 species